rnacentral:tRNA from 9 species
GCUUUAGAAAGAUAAUAGUUAUCUAUU